rnacentral:rRNA from 1 species
UACGGGGGGAGCAAGCGUUGUUCGGAUUUACUGGGCGUAAAGGGCGCGUAGGCGGCGCAACAAGUCACUUGUGAAAUCUCCGGGCUUAACCCGGAGCGGUCAAGUGAUACUGUCGUGCUAGAGUGCGGAAGGGGCUACUGGAAUUCUCGGUGUAGCGGUGAAAUGCGUAGAUAUCUGGAGGAACACCGGUGGCGAAGGCGGCAUCCUGGACCAAUAUUGACGCUGAGGGAGCGAAAAGCCAGGGGGAGCAAAACGGGG